rnacentral:lncRNA from 1 species
CAAUGGCAGCGCGCGGGUGCAUAUGUCCCCAAUUAGGGCUGGGCGCCGCCAUUGUCCCUUCUUCGCCCCCUCCUCGCGUUGGGGUCUCUGAGCUGAGCUUUCCCCACGCAGCCUGCUCCGGCUAUCGACGAUGGUCGCGGAGCGGCAAGCAGAGACUGCAGCGUGGUGACCUUAUACGGACUGGCCCGGCGGGCGCAAGUGCCAGGGCGCCACAGCGGUGCUGAGCUCAGCUCCUUUCCUCCUGCUGCAUGCUGGGCUGCUACCGGCAUCCACUGCCUCGCGUUCGGCCACGGUCCCAUCUUACAGAAAGGUUUAGGGGUUGGUGUUGCCACUGAUGUGUUCAGGCCCUGUGGUCUGUCACUUCUCCAUACACCUAGGGAAACAGCGGACAGCCUUACUGGAGGCUCCACCAACUUCUGCUGGGCUGAGAGGUGAUUGGCAAAGAAUGUAAAAUUGGCUUGCAAUUGCUGGUGGGGACAGCUUCUGUGGUGACUGGGGUGGAUGAGGUCAUUAUCGAGAAGGGGUCAAGGAUGUGGUAGGGAAAUGGAGGUGAAUCCUUGAGAGUACUUAAUUCAGCCACAGUGGUAGUGGCAGCCGGGCUAUGCAGCUCAUGACAGGUCUGAGGUAGGAAUCCUGGGAGAGAGUGAAACGGGGCUCUGCUAAUUCCGUAAGGGGCAUCUGUCGUGAGCCUUUUUGGAGGCUGCCGAGUUAGGGGGUAGCACAAAGGGAAGCUAUGUGUCCUGACUGGAGACGAGUUGAAGGUCCAGGGAAGGUCUACUUCCAAAGGCCUAAAGGGCAAACAGACUUGCUCCUCACUGAGGCGGAACCAUUGGAAGCCAUGUUAGCUACUGCACCACUGUAACGGGUGGCAAGGAGAAGAAAUGUUUAUUUUUAGGUCACGGUUUUCGAGGUCCCAACACCCGUUUCCUCUUUUGUUUCUGGGCCCUUCUCAGGAAGAGCAUCAUGAUAGAAAAACCUAGCAGAACACAGUUACUCACUAACAGCAACCAGGAAGCAGAGAGGGAUGCAGGAGAGUGCUGGACAAGGUAUUUAUUUCCAGAUCACAACCUCAGUAUUCGCUUUCCUCCGGCUAGGCCUACCUACCAGUUUCUGCCACUGUCUGGAAAAUGCUAUAAUCUGGUUUCACUGAUGGAUUAGUGAGGCCUGGUAACCAAUCAGUUUCUAAAUGUCCCACCUCUGAACUUGGCUGCAUCGGGAACCAGGCCUUUAACAUGCAACCCUUUUGGAGGAAUACUUUAUAUUUAAACAAUGACAAAAGCCAAGGUUACAGGGGGAAGCCAUGAGUCUGAAUCAUAGCACAACCACAACUGUAUCCAUGAAAAAAUAAGAAAAGCACAAGACCCCGAGUUCAAGCCCCAGGGGCCCACAGAAAAAAGCCAGACACAGUGGCAUGGACUGUAAUCCCAGCACUGGGAGAAUAAGAGCCAGGCAGA